CCACCGUCCACUCUCUCUCACUCUUGACUUUUCUCCUUUUCUUCCCAUAAUAUCUUUUCUCCUUCUUCAGCACAAUUCAUUCUUUUCCCUGCUGCAUACCCACGCUCAACAUCAUCACCAUAUUCAUUUCUUCUUCUAUUUUCUUCUUAUUUUCUCAACUUGCUGCAGCAUCAUCCUUACCAUUCUUCUUCUUCUUCCUCUACCCAUGGCAGCACCCAUCACCGUGUUUCCUCUUCAUUUCUCUUCUCCAAGCGUGGCAACACAAGCCACCACCACCAUAAUCGUGCUCCUCCUUGAACCACCACCGCUGGCCGCAAGCCACACCAUGCCAGACUUCAUGCUUUUCUCUCCUCUCCACGAUACCACCAUCCCCAUGAAGCAACCAGCCAACACCUCCAUGUCUCCUCCCACGCGCGCGACAACAACAUCACCGCUGGUCACCACCGCCCUUUUCUCCCAUGAGAACCCUUUUCUGUCCUCCCUCCAUGGCCGAGCAAGUCAUCCACAACACCAUGUGGCUUCCAUCGAAGCUCAUCACCAUCAACAAGACAAGAAAACGUGAGAAACAGAGAAGAACGACAUCGCCGACAUCGCCGACAUCGCCGACGUCGCCGACGUCGCCGACGCCGCAAUCUUCGCCCUUCGAUUCCGUUGUCCUCGGGCCUCCGUUCACAGCGAGGUUAGUACCGUUGGAAUCCUUGCGACGUGCACAACAAAACCCAUGUUCCGAAUCGUCGUUCCGCCGCCGUCGACCGCCGUCCCUGCCGCCUUCGGAGCCGUUUUCCGAUCAACUCCGGCGACCGGUGGAAAAAAACGGAGUAUACCACGCUGAUCCUUGCCGCGAGAGGAACAAUAGCCCUCAAUCAAUUUCAGUUUUGGACAACUUUUGUCGGCGAGCUCCGCCGAUCUACAAUUUGACUUCCUGGGCAAACUGUCAACUUUUUGGGGGAACGGACAACACCAUUGAGUUCUUGGCCGCGAAAGGAUGAAGAAACAUUAUCCCGUUGUGUCUCCGGCGACAGUUCCUUCGUCAACCCCCGCGAACAACGACUUUCUCGGGCGACCCUUUGCCGACAAGUUUCUGAAACUUGAUUUUCGUUUGGACUUGGACAACUAUGACGUGUUGAGGUGGAACAGGAGCGAGCUUCAAACUGUAGAGCCUAACAAAAUAGAGGCCCUAACAGGUGUCGCUGCAAGUAGCUGUUGAUUGCUGCAAGAAGGUGAUUCGACUGAUUGUCAAGAAGACUUGCUUGGAGUUGGUGAACCAAUCGAAGAUUUGUAGAAGUAAUAGUUAGAUGUAAGGCUAGAGCCUUGGGUAGAGAAGCUUACCGUCAUUGGUUGAAGCUCGUAAGAAUG